AUUGAACGCUGGCGGCAGGCUUAACACAUGCAAGUCGAGCGAGCGGCGGAGGGGUGUGUAAUGUCUGGGACACUGCCUGAUGGAGGGGGAAAACUACUGGAACCGGUAGCUAAUACCGCAUACCAUCAGAUGUGCCCUGAGGGGAUUAGCUAGUGGGUGGGGUAAUGGCGCACUUAGGCGACGAUGCCUAGCUGGUCGGAGAGGAUGACCAGGCACACGGGAACUGAGACACGGUCCAGACGCCUACGGGAGGCAGCAGUGGGGAAUAGUGCACAAUGGGCGAAAGCCUGAUGGAGCCAUGCCGCGUGUGUGAAGAAGGCCUUCGGGUUGUAAAGCACUUUCAGUGGGGAGGCGGUACUCGCAGAAGAAGCACCGGCUAACUACGUGCCAGCAGCCGCGGUAAUAC
rnacentral:rRNA from 1 species